GUAUUUGAACGUUUGCGAUAUGCAUUCCUGCAUUACUAACUAUUACUUUUUUUACAAGAUUAUGUUGAAGAAAUUGAUUAGGGAGCGGGUAUGAACCCGUUCCCUAACCAAAACCUUCCCUAAAAGAAUAUGAAUUCUUGAACGUGAAUGUCGUCACGAACUACAAUUUCAUAUAGGUGUCGUAGAUUCAUUUGGGGGAGCUGUGCUAACUGAAAUGUAAUAUUGCUACUCAUGCAUUGCGCAUGUCCAACAAUACGCACUAUGAUAGCCACUCUUAAAAUAUUCAUAUAAAUAAAAUAUUUGGAUAAUAUAAAAUAGUGAUUAUGUACCCUGGUGGCAUUCAGCACAAAUAAUAAAGUUAAAACAGCACAAUGAAAUAUAAAAGGAAUAAAUCAAUUUUAUUUUGUAGAUAAUGCUCAUUGUGCCUCCUCAGACCUCACUUCCAAUAGAAAAUAUAAAGGAGAUAUGUUUGUCCCACAUCUGCAGAAUAAAUUGCAACAAUAGAAGUGCAACACAGAAAAGAGUUGCAUGCUAUUCAGAUGGACAAUGAGCUCCAGUGAAAUAAAAAAAAUAAAAUUGAGAUAUAUUAAUAAAAGAAAAAUAUAAAUUUUAUAAAAAUAAAUGACAAUGACUAACUUUAA